GAGCUCACUUCGGCAGCACAUAUACUAAAAUUGGAACGAUACGGGGAUUAGCAUGGCCACUGUGCAAGGAUGACACAAAAAUUCGUGAAACCUUCUGUAUUUUU
ensembl:snRNA RNU6-611P RNA, U6 small nuclear 611, pseudogene